rnacentral:rRNA from 1 species
UCAUAGCGACUAUCGUGGCAUAUCAAUAAGCGGAGGAAAAGAAACUAACAAGGAUUCCCCUAGUAACGGCGAGUGAAGCGGGAAGAGCUCAAAUUUGAAAUCUUCAAGGUUUGACCUUGACGAAUUGUAGUUUAAAGAAGUGUUUUCGGUUAGAGGAGUAGUAAAAGUUCUUUGGAAUAGGACAUCAUAGAGGGUGAGAAUCCCGUAUUUGACCAUUAUUUCCAGCUGUAUGAUACACUUUCAAAGAGUCGGAUUGUUUGGGAAUGCAGUCCAAAAUGGGUGGUAAAUUUCAUCUAAAGCUAAAUAUCGGCGAGAGACCGAUAGCGAACAAGUACCGUGAGGGAAAGAUGAAAAGAACUUUGAAAAGAGAGUUAAACAGUACGUGAAAUUGUCAAAAGGGAAGCGUUUGACACCAGUGUUGUUUUUCCGAAAAUCAAUUAAAAAUUGAUUCAUGCCAGGUUGUAUUGACCUUAUCAGCUUGCAAUUUGGUUUUGGGUCUCUUUUUGAUGCACUUUUCGGUUAACAAGUCAACAUCAAUUUCCUUUGCUGUAAAAAGGUAAGAGGAAGGUGGCUUCAAUUUCGGUUGAAGUGUUUAUAGCCUUUUAUCUCUGCAGUCGGGGAGAUUGAGGUCCUGCAGCGUAGAUCCUUCGGGGCUAGAUACAUUUAUGCUAAGUUAUAGCUUUUCAUAGACAACUUGUUGACUAUGUUUAGUCAUGUAGCUUACUCGUAAGUGCUAUUUUACCUACGCUUAGGAUGUUGAUAGUCACAGCGUGUAC